rnacentral:rRNA from 1 species
UACGAAGGGAGCUAGCGUUGUUCGGAAUCACUGGGCGUAAAGCGCACGUAGGCGGAUUUGUCAGUCAGGGGUGAAAUCCCGGGGCUUAACCCCGGGUCUGCAUUCGAUACGGGCUGACUAGAGUUCGGCAGGGGAGACUGGAAUUCCUGGUGUAGCGGUGAAAUGCGCAGAUAUCAGGAGGAACACCGGUGGCGAAGGCGGGUCUCUGGGCCGAUACUGGCGCUGAGGAGCGAAAGCGUGGGGAGCAAACAGG